AGAGUUUGAUCCUGGCUCAGAUUGAACGCUGGCGGCAUGCCUUACACAUGCAAGUCGAACGGCAGCACGGGUGCUUGCACCUGGUGGCGAGUGGCGAACGGGUGAGUAAUAUAUCGGAACGUACCUUAUCGUGGGGGAUAACGCAGCGAAAGCUGCGCUAAUACCGCAUACGCCCUGAGGGGGAAAGCGGGGGACCGUAAGGCCUCGCGCGAUUAGAGCGGCCGAUAUCUGAUUAGCUUGUUGGUGGGGUAAAAGCCCACCAAGGCGACGAUCAGUAGCUGGUCUGAGAGGACGAUCAGCCACACUGGGACUGAGACACGGCCCAGACUCCUACGGGAGGCAGCAGUGGGGAAUUUUGGACAAUGGGGGCAACCCUGAUCCAGCAAUGCCGCGUGAGUGAAGAAGGCCUUCGGGUUGUAAAGCUCUUUUGUCAGGGAAGAAACAGCAGCUCUAACACAGUCUGCGAAUGACGGUACCUGAAGAAUAAGCACCGGCUAACUACGUGCCAGCAGCCGCGGUAAUACGUAGGGUGCAAGCGUUAAUCGGAAUACUGGGCGUAAAGCGUGCGCAGGCGGUUAUACAAGACAGGCGUGAAAUCNCCGGG
rnacentral:rRNA from 1 species